rnacentral:rRNA from 1 species
UAACAUAUGCUUGUCUCAAAGAUUAAGCCAUGCAUGUCUAAGUAUAAACAACUUUAUACUGUGAAACUGCGUACAGCUCAUUAAAUCAGUCAUUAUUUAUUUGAUGGUUUCUUACUUACAUGGAUACCCGUAGUAAUUCUAGAGCUAAUACAUGCAAAAAAUCCCGACUUUUGAAGGGAUGUAUUUAUUAGAUAAAAAACCAAUGCGCCCUCUGGGCGGUUAGUGGUGAUUCAUAAUAACUGAUCGAAUCGCAUGGCCUUGCGCUGGCGAUAGUUCAUUCAAAUUUCUGCCCUAUCAGCUUUCGACGGUAGUGUAGUGGACUACCGUGGCAUUAACGGGUGACGGAGAAUUAGGGUUCGAUUCCGGAGAGGGAGCCUGAGAAAUGGCUACCACAUCCAAGGAAGGCAGCAGGCGCGCAAAUUACCCGAUCCUGACACAGGGAGGUAGUGACAAUAAAUAACAAUACUGGGCCUUCUCAGGUCUGGUAAUUGGAAUGAGUACAAUUUAAAUCCCUUAACGAGGAUCAAUU